AAUUAGACGCCCGACUGGGUCAAUUAGAUUCCCAAACUUAAAAAAGCAUCACUUUCACGCGCAAAAAUGCAGCUUUGAAUCAUUACAUAACUCAGAGCCGAUGAGCAUUUCCUUCAUCCUUUUCAUUUUGCUUCAUCUCAGAAUGAAUCUCCUUUGAUCCACCAGAAGAUUAGCUUCUCUUAUUGUCGUUCAUUUACUUAGACCUUUUUACUCUUCAUCUUUACCGAUAUAUCUUCACCUUCUAUUAAAAGUCUUUUACUGAACGAGAAGCCAGGUCUACGGUGGAAGCACAAAUUUUGUUGCUUUUCUAGUCGUUGUAGUUUCUGCUGUGAGUAACUUCAACCAAAUUAGAGAAUUUGACAAAGUUUUUAAACGAGAGUGGUGACGUAAAAGUUGAAGUAUUUAGAGGUGGCAGGCGCUGGCGUGUUGAUCUUAGAAGUUGUAGUGGGUGAUGUUGUGUUUUUGAAAAUUGAAGAUCAAAUUCCUGUAGAUGGGUUUCUCUUGAAUGGGCAGCUCUAUAUCACCGGUGAAAAUGACCAUGUCAAGAGCAAUGACAGGGAGAACCUUCUCCUAUAUGCAGAAGAUUAAUGGGUUAGCUGUGAUUGAUUUUAGAUGCUAUAUAUAUGUACAGUCCAAGAGAUUGUUGUGACUCAGCCCAUAUGGAGUCUCAGAUCAUCCAGUCAUAUGCUUGAUUCAUCCACCGGCAAGGAGUUGCAGCUCAAUGAAAAUCCAUCAGCCGGCUGGAAUCUGAUCACCAACUCUCUAGUGCGCACAACAUCACCCACUACAACUUCAAAGAUCAACAUACUUUAGCGCCUGCCAUCUCUCAAUAAUUCAACUUUUAUGUCACCACUCUCGUUUAAAAGCUAUCAAAUUGUCUUGUUUGCUUGAAGUUACCCACAGAAGAGCUGUGCUAGAAAGACAGCAAAACUUAUGCUUCCACCAGCAUCUGCAGUCCAUAACUUUUUAGCCUUUUUCCACCGGGCUAAUCCUGUUCUUUAGGCAAUCUUGUUUGAUUCAGUUUCAACAAUUAUUAUCUGCAAUUUCUGUAACACUUUUGAAUAAUUAAUAUUUAGAAAGCCUGUGUUUUCUGGGUUUAUUAUUCCGUA